AACCUGGCGGCAUGCUUUACCAUGCAAGUCGGACGGCAGCGAGGUGGUGCUUGCACCACUGUCGGCGAGUGGCGAACGGGUGAGUAAUGCAUUGGAACGUACCGAGUAGUGGGGGAUAACUGUCCGAAAGGAUAGCUAAUACCGCAUACGACCUGAGGGUGAAAGCGGGGGACUCUUUGAGCCUCGCGCUAUUUGAGCGGCCAAUGUCUGAUUAGGUAGUUGGUGGGGUAAAGGCCUACCAAGCCGACGAUCAGUAGCGGGUCUGAGAGGAUGAUCCGCCACACUGGGACUGAGACACGGCCCAGACUCCUACGGGAGGCAGCAGUGGGGAAUUUUGGACAAUGGGGGGAACCCUGAUCCAGCCAUGCCGCGUGUCUGAAGAAGGCCUUCGGGUUGUAAAGGACUUUUGUCGGGGAAGAAAAGCGGAUUGAUAAUACCAGUUCGUGAUGACGGUACCCGAAGAAUAAGCACCGGCUAACUACGUGCCAGCAGCCGCGGUAAU
rnacentral:rRNA from 1 species